rnacentral:rRNA from 1 species
GGCUCAGGAUGAACGCUAGCGACAGGCCUAACACAUGCAAGUCGAGGGGCAGCACGAGUAAGCUUGCUUACUUGGUGGCGACCGGCGCACGGGUGCGUAACAGGUGUGCAAUCUGUCCAUAAUCGGGGAAUAGCCCAGCGAAAGUUGGAUUAAUGCUCCAUGUGAGUUUUAGAGGCAUCUCUUUAACUUGAAACGCAAGGAUUAUGGGUGAGCACGCUUCUGAUUAGGUAGUUGGCGGGGUAACGGCCCACCAAGUCGACGAUAGCUAGGGGAUCUGAGAGGACGGUCCCCCACACUGGUACUGAGACACGGACCAGACUCCUACGGGAGGCAGCAGUAAGGAAUAUUGGGCAAUGGAGGCAACUCUGACCCAGCCAUGCCGCGUGAAGGACGAAGGCCCUACGGGUCGUAAACUUCUUUUGUCAGGGAAUAAAGUCGCCUACGCGUAGGCGUUUGCAGGUACCUGAAGAAUAAGCAUCGGCUAACUCCGUG